rnacentral:rRNA from 1 species
CAGUCGCCACGGGAAUACAGAGGGUGCAAGCGUUAAUCGGAAUUACUGGGCGUAAAGCGUGCGCAGGCGGUUAUAUAAGACAGAUGUGAAAUCCCCGGGCUCAACCUGGGAACUGCAUUUGUGACUGUAUAGCUAGAGUACGGCAGAGGGGGAUGGAAUUCCGCGUGUAGCAGUGAAAUGCGUAGAUAUGCGGAGGAACACCGAUGGCGAAGGCAAUCCCCUGGGCCUGUACUGACGCUCAUGCACGAAAGCGUGGGGAGCAAACAGGAUUAGAUACCCGGGUAGUCCCUGUCUCUUAUAC